CCUCGGCGGGAUCUCUGCCCCGGGUGCGUCGCAGCCCCGGACCAAGGCGCCCGCCGGAGGACCAACCAAAACUCUUUUUGUAUACCCCCUCGCGGGUUUUUUAUAAUCUGAGCCUUCUCGGCGCCUCUCGUAGGCGUUUCGAAAAUGAAUCAAAACUUUCAACAACGGAUCUCUUGGUUCUGGCAUCGAUGAAGAACGCAGCGAAAUGCGAUAAGUAAUGUGAAUUGCAGAAUUCAGUGAAUCAUCGAAUCUUUGAACGCACAUUGCGCCCGCCAGUAUUCUGGCGGGCAUGCCUGUCCGAGCGUCAUUUCAACCCUCGAACCCCUCCGGGGGGUCGGCGUUGGGGAUCGGCCCUGCCUCUUGGCGGUGGCCGUCUCCGAAAUACAGUGGCGGUCUCGCCGCAGCCUCUCCUGCGCAGUAGUUUGCACACUCGCAUCGGGAGCGCGGCGCGUCCACAGCCGUUAAACACCCAACUUCUGAAAUGUUGACCUCGGAUCAGGUAGGAAUACCCGCUGAACUUAAGCAUAUC
rnacentral:rRNA from 1 species